UUGUCAUCGGUGAUCCUGAUGGCCGCCUCUUUGCCUGAGACCCCAGAGGCGCCGGAGACAGGAGAUAUGAGUUCGCGAGCAGCGGCGUGUCCUUGCCCCGGUCCGUGUUCUUGUGCUUCGCAAGGAUACGACUAAAAGGACUUCAACUAAUGCUUCCAGCGACUGUGAGAAGGACUCUUUAACACUUUAACUAGAUUUGUAGAAAGGACUCAUUAUUUGGACAUAGGAAGGAUCCAUCAUUUGGACAUAGGAAAGACUCAUCAUCUAGACAUAGGAAGGAUUCAUCAUUGGGAUAUAAGAAGGACUCACCAUUAGAAUAUAUCAUUUUGACGUAGGAAGGAUCCAUCGUUUCGACAUAAAGGACUCAUCUUUUGGACAUAAAAGGACUCAUCAUUUGGACAUAGGAAGGACUCAUCAAUGGGAUAUAGAAAGGACUUAUCAUUUGGACACAGGAAGUCAAUAUCAACCAUGAAUAUUAAGACGAAGGUUUGCAUGUACUUUUUCGCGUAAGUUUACAGUAGUCCAGGAAAUUGGCAAUAAUACUAAAAAUGAUGAUGAUCAUGAUAGUGUGUGUGUGUGUGUGUGUGUGUGUAUGUGUGUGCGUGUAUGUACAGAUAUAUACAUGCCUGAAUAUAUGUGCAUAAGUAUAUAUAUACAUACAUAUGUAUUCAUACAUACACAUAUAUAUACAUACAUGCAUACAUAUAUUCAUAUUGGUGUGUGUAAGUAGGUAUGUGCAGGUGUGGGCAUUUAUUUUUCUGAUUCCCCUUAACGUAAAAUCAAUUUAUUCAUAGUCUGUCAUCGACGAUCUUGAAGGCGCAUGCUGUUUUAGAUCACACCCGAGACCCCGAAUAUAGUAUUGCCAAUGUAAACAUAUAGUAUGGUAUGUUAAAGUUAUCUUUGUAAGGGAAGUUAACGCGAAUGUGUGGAAGUAGUUUGAGUGUCUUUUAUCUGUAUAGUUACACAUGUAUAGUUGGAAGGAAAUUCACUUAUUUCACAGAGAAAGGUGAGUGGCACAUACGUAUUCGUGGACUGUGUGAUUAUUUCUUAACAUGCAGAUAAUACGAAAUUUAAUGUGUUCUAUAUUUGCCUUUUUUUUAAUGAUUGUAAUUAUAUUGAGCUGCGAGUGUGUAUAUAUUAAGGCAACAAUUUUCCUUUUCUUUUUCUCUUGUUAAACAUCUGUUCUUAAUUAUUCUUACUUACAAUUAACAUAUGGUUAAACUUUGGCCAUAUUAUUCAUAUUUUCCAUUAUUAUUUUUUUUUACUAAUAACUGGUAUUCUUUCCUUUUAUAAAAACAAAAAAAACAACAACAAAAAUCUAGCUGUGUGUUUUAACUGCUAUGAUUAGUUCCUAAGACAAGAGACAAGAAAACGGA